rnacentral:rRNA from 1 species
UACGUAGGGGGCUAGCGUUGUCCGGAUUUAUUGGGCGUAAAGAGCGUGUAGGCGGCCAGGUAGGUCUGGUGUGAAAACUCGAGGCUUAACCUCGAGAUGUCAUCGGAAACCAUCUGGCUAGAGUCCGGAAGAGGAGAGUGGAAUUCCUGGUGUAGCGGUGAAAUGCGCAGAUAUCGAGAGGAACACCUGAGGUGAAGACGGGUUGCUGGGCCGACACUGACGCUGAGUGCGCGAAAGCCAGGGGAGCAAACGGG